rnacentral:tRNA from 1 species
GCCCUCGUAGCUCAGCUGGUAGAGCGUGCGCGUACAAAGCGUAGGUGGCGUCCAUGCGUGGGUUCGAAUACAACCGAGGCUA